CCCUAAACUAAGAAGGUAUCUCACCUAAAACUACUCCGUAUAAAAAAAAGUAACAUGUAUAAACUAUAGAAGUAACAUACCUAAACUAAAAAAAGUAGUUCCUCUAAAAUUAUAUAAAAAAAAGUAACAUGUCUAAACUAUAGAAGUAACAUACCUAAACUAAGAAGGUAUCUCCCCUAAAACUACUCCGUAUAAAAAAAAGUAACAUGUAUAAACUAUAGAAGUAACAUACCUAAAUUAAAAAAAAGUACCUCCAUUAAAAUUAUAAAAAAAAAGUAAAAUGUCUAAACUAUAGAAGUAACAUACCUAAACUAAGAAGGUAUCUCCCCUAAAACUACUCCGUAUAAAAAAAGUAACAUGUAUAAACUAUAGAAGUAACAUACCUAAACUAAAAAAAAGCACCUCCUCUAAAAUUAUAAAAAAAAAGUAACAUGUCUAAACUAUAGAAGUAACAUACCUAAAUUUACAAAUGUAAACUGAUCUCACUAUCAGUUGAUGAUGAAGACAGUCUCAUAUAAGAAUUUUGGGUUCCAUUUAAUACAUUAAUCAAAGAACAAAUUAUUCAUAAAUACAUAAAAAGAUUUCCCUAACGAACAUUAAUCCUCUCAAUUGAUUAGUCAGUUGUUCUGUCUCCUUUUUCCCUCCAAACUAAAACCCUUUCCCCCAAAAAUAAACUCAAAAACCCUCACACCCUUUUUUUCUUCAUCCUCCUCUUUUCCCUAUCCAAAGCUUCUCACCCCUCUCUCUCUCUCCUCACCUUCAAACUCCAUAGCUAUGGCUAAGCUCUAAGCUUACUUUCUCUCUCCUCCUCCUUCCCCUCCCCAAGAAAAAUUUGGGAAUGUUGUAUAAUAUAGCAAAAAUGAAAUCCCUAAUUUCCCCCAAAACUUUCUCUCUCCUCCCUCCACCCCACAAAUCACCUUCCUUCCUUCUCUAUUUUCGGCCUUCACUUCUUCAAAACCCCCCUAAAUUUCUCUCCCCCCUUCAACCCUCUUACCCCAGGUUGCGCACCCUUCGUUGUUACGCUUCUUCUUCUUCUCAGCAUAUGCAGCAGUAUCCUUCGCCACAGCCGCCGUCUUCUUCAUGCGGUGAAAUUCAUGUUAUUGUGGGUCCCAUGUUCGCCGGGAAAACCUCCUCUCUCCUUCGCCGCAUCCAAUCCGAGAGCAGUAAUGGAAGUUUUCAGGCUGCAAAAAUCAAGAGCUCGUCGCUACUGUUGGAUAAAGCAUUGAAGGAUCUUUGCUACUCUGGAAGACUGAGGGAAGCAAUUAGGUUACUCUGCCGUACUGAAGUAGCUGUGGACUGGCAUACUUAUGCUCUCUUACUGCAAGAUUGUAUACAUGGAGGAGCACAUGAGUGGGGUAAAAGUAUUCAUGCUCAUAUGGUGGUUGUUGGUUUUACUCUGAAUGAAUACCUGAAAACCAAACUGUUGAUUUUGUACUGUAAGGCAGGGAAGUUGGGGACUGCCUGCAUACUCUUUAAUGAGUUGCUAGAGAAGAGCUUAAUUUCGUGGAAUGCAAUGAUUGCAGGGUAUGUGCAGAGAAGCAUGGAAGAUGUAGGAUUGAGUCUGUAUCACAAGAUGAGACAUAUUGGUGUGACUCCAGAUCAAUUCACCUUUGCAUCUGUGUUCAGAGCAUGUGCCUCUUUGGCGUUGCUGGAGCAGGGAAGGCAGGCCCAUGGUAUACUGGUUAAAUGUGGAAUUGGGAAAAAUGUUAUCGUUAAUAGUGCUCUCAUGGAUAUGUAUUUCAAAUGCAGCUGUUUAACAGAUGGACAUCAGGUGUUCAUUAAAUCUCCCGAUAAGAAUGUAAUCACUUGGACUGCCCUCAUAUCUGGAUAUGGACACAAUGGAAGGACUGAUGAGGUUUUGGAACUCUUUGACGAAAUGAUAAAAGAAGGUCUGAGACCCAAUUACGUCACCUUCCUUGCUGUUCUUUCUGCUUGUAGCCAUAGAGGUCUUGUUGAUGAAGGUUGGAAGUAUUUCUCAUUAAUGAAGAAUGACUAUGGCAUCCAACCUCAUAGGAAACACUUUGCAGCCAUAGUCGAUCUUUUAGGACGUGCUGGGAGGUUAGAUGAGGCUUAUAACUUUAUUAAUAGCUCACCAUGUAAGGACAAUUCUGUGGUCUGGGGUUCUUUGCUUGGAGCUUGUCGACUUCAUGGUAAUGUUAAGUUGCUGGAAUUAUCAGCAAAGAAGUACUUUGACUUGGAGCCAAAAAAUGCUGGAAAAUAUGUUGUUUUGUCCCAUACUUUUGCCUCCCAUGCAAUGUGGGAAAGUGUGGCUGAGGUUUGGGGUCUGAUGAGGGACUCUGGGGUGAAAAAAGAUCCUGGAUAUAGUAGGAUUGAGCUCCAGAAUGAAGUCCAUUUCUUUUUUAAGGGUGACGACACGCACAAAGAUGCUAAAGAUACAUAUGAAAUGCUUAAAGUUUUGACUUGUGCAAUAGUGGACAGUGGUUAUAUUCCUGAUUUAGUUUCUGAGUAGUCAUUAAUACAAGUUACAACUAUCAUGAUGUUCAAGUCCCAUAAUCGGUGAUAACCAUAAAAGGUUGAUUUGCAGAAUGUAUGUGAACAAUUUAAGACAGAAAAGUGGCUGUGAUCAAAUCAAGCAAAGACACAAGAUAUGAACUGAACUCCAUUGUCACUCAUGAUGGAGAUAAACUUCCAUGCUUGGCAUUGCAUGACUUGUCAUCAUUCAGACAAAAAUUUGGCUCAAUCGCUUAUGACGAGAUGUGAUUGGUAUUGAUGAAGCUCAAUUUUUCGAGGAUCUAUACGACUUCUGUGAAAGGGCUGCCGACCAUGAUGGCAAAACCAUUAUAGUUGCUGGUCUAGAUGGUGAUUACUUGAGGAGGAGCUUUGGUUCCGUGC